CGCGGGUUGGGCGGGGGAGAUCACCCAGCGACAACCAUUCUCCACAGCCUGCCUCGGGCUUUGAACAGAAACAAAAUUUCCGUGGUUGGGAGCAGAGGGGGUCCCUGAAUUCCCAAAGGGCUGAAAUCCCAGCCCCAAGGAGGCGUGGGCAGAGCCUGAGGCCCGAAGGGCUGGAAAUGGGAGUGGGAACGAGGGUGAAGGGAUCUCAGAGGUCACAUUUGCAGCCACCUCCAUCACAGCUAUACAGAACCCUGCCAUCACCAUGUGACCAAGCCCAGACAUGCCUGCUGGAGGAUGAGAGACCACACGGAGCAGAGAUGAAUCAGCUGGGGUCAUUCAAACCUCCAGCCCCCAUCCAACCCACCAGCUGAUCAAAGACACAUCAAGACCAGAGUGAGCCCAACAAGAUCAGAAAAACCACCCAGCUGAGCCCAGCCCAAAUUGCUGGUCCUCAGAAUCAGAAACUAAGUAAACACUUUUUGUUUAAGGAUGUUAAAUUUGGGGGUAAUUUUUUAUGCUGCAGAAGCUAAUUGAUACACAUUAGCUCAUCUUCAUGCCAACAACAAUAAUAAUAACUGAUAUUUAUUAUGUCCCAAGUACUGCCUUAAGUGCUUUAUAGUCCUCGGGACAAUUCUUUAGGGUAAUUAUAGUUAUAAUUUUCAUUUUGCAGAUGAUGAAACUUUGCAGAUAAGGCUGAGAGAGGUUAACCAACUUUCCCUAGGCCAUCAGCUAGUAAUGGGUAAAAUGGGUAUUCAGACUAAAGUCUGUCUGGUUUCUCUCCCCCAUGAAUCAAAAGACAUCUCCAGUUACCUUAACCGACUCCCUAAGGAGGA